rnacentral:ncRNA from 1 species
CUAAUGUCACCACGCCUUGGUGAACGGGAAAUCGGUGUGAUGCCGGUGCGGCCCUCGCCACUGUGAUCGGGAAGUCCGGCUCCAGCCUCACGGCAGCCACUGGGCGCUCACGCGCCCGGGAAGGCGGAGUCCGGUCGGUACGACCCGUCAGCCAGGAGACCGGCCAAGGCGCGUUGUCCAUC